rnacentral:sRNA from 1 species
AAGCACCCUAUUUACAGUCCCCAUUUCGACGUCUUCUUAGUAACACCUCGCUCUGUAGUCUUUAAGUACCGCUCAUUUUCUCGCACAAACUCCUACUCGACCUCGUGUCGACAGUGGGAACAUUUAUCUAUAUUUUUUGGAAAUUAUUAUGUCAGACAGAAUUACUGGAACCGUUAAGUGGUUCGACGAACAGAAAGGCUUUGGUUUUAUUGAGCGUCAAGGCGGCACAGAUGUAUUUGUUCACUUCAGCGCCAUCGAAGGUUCAGGCUACAAGAGCCUGACCGAAGGCCAGCGCGUUGAGUUCAAUGUCUCAAGGCCAGAAAGGCCCACAGGCAGACAACAUCUCUGUA